CGGUGAACAGAUGUCCUUUCGUCGGGUACCAGAUGUCCAAGUGUCGGAAACCUGCAACCAAAAGUCGGAAACCCUGGAGUCCUUUUUGUAACUCGCCCAAAAGACUCUGUCCCGUCUAUCGCACCACAAGAAUUCCACAGUGAAAAACGAAAAAAUUAUGCUGAUCAACAGCACCCUCCAUUGUUCGGGAUUUUUUUUCAAUUACCUUUAUGAAAUAACGAGAUUUUGCAUGAAAUUACGCCAUUCUCCAAUCAUUUUUAUUUUACGAAAUGCCACAUGGCAACACCGUAUUGGCAAAAGUCUGAUUACUUGGAUCGCAGUCUUUACUCAGUACUUCGUCGUCUUUGGUAAAAGUGGCAGAGAAUCGACAUCAUCUUGACGAUCUGGUGUUACGCAAACUCGCUGAUUGUGCUGUAAUGCAAGUGGUGCAUCAAGUACAGUUAUCAGCCUAGCAACAGGCAGUAAAUCACAUUUCUUGAAUUAAUCAAACAUCCGUGUUUACGUCAACCUAUUUGAUGCAGCAACAAAAUACAUCGAACGCCAUCUUGUAUUCGUUUUGUCUUUUACUAUGUUGCAAACUCGCUCUACAAUUGGCACAUCUUAUUCAAACCGUUAUUAUGCAAAACAAUAAUGGAAAACGUUGAAGGUACGGGAAAAGAUGAACAGCUUAAUGAACUACAGUUUAAGAGCAAUUUAAGGCCAUAGCCUCCAGAAUCAGUUUAAGAAUUCGAUCGGACAGAGCCGGACUGUCACUCAGUACAUACGUCGCCAUCAUGUUCUUGUAAGUUUCCUCCAUUUCGAGGCUCAUUCCACUUUCGCCCUUAACUGGUUCCACAUCCAUCUCUUCGUUCACUAAAAGGCCAACAACACAAUGAAGACGAUUAUAAAGAGCACUAAUACCCAAACGGAAAUCAAUUUUCACCUGGUUUUGGCUCUUUUAGUUGUUCGUCUGCAUCCAUAUCUUGUAAACUGGUCACAACCUUCUUAUUUUGGGUCAUGGAAACGAUCAUGACGCCUAUCAACAUCCACAUUAACGACCUUUUCUUGUAAUCCUCUAGAAAGUGUUGCCAGCUGUAGUUGUCCAACGAAAUGCCGAGCAACCUCAGAUCAGUCAUCAACGUAUCAAAAUAAUAACGAAGUAAUACGAGCAUGUAACGUUCUCUCAACUCCGGCAUUGUACUCGUGUACAUGAAGUAAAGGACGUCACUGAGUGGGUGGCCGAUCCUCGAUAGUUGAAAAUCGAGCAUUCUCAGUGAAACAGGAAUGUCUGCUGGUGCAUUCUCGCUAUUUCCAUCUUCAGGGCGAUCCGACUGCUCUGCGUAUUUGAACAGCAUAUUGUUGUUCCAGAAAUCCCCAUGAAGAAUGCAAGCCAAUGGACCGCUGCUCUCCAGAUUGUCGACUAAAACGAUUUCUGGCAUUCGUUGCUGUAUGUCUGACAACCAUUCAACUACCUGCGUUCGUGCCCAUUAGGUAUGGCAAGAAUACUUCACAGCAUACUCACAUCAGGUCUGUCUAUUUCUUUGGCGAAAUUGACGAUGGAGAUGGAAAAGUCUUGAAGGAUUUUGAUGAUUCCUACGUCAUACAUGGAUUUCUCUUCCAGAAUGAAUUUCGCCACAGGUGGCAUAUUGGACAAUUCUCCCGUGGACGGAUCUUUCCAUUUUCUCACAGCGUUCAGAGUCAAGGCGUGAUAAUGAGCCAAUGACGUCAAUGCCAUGUGACAGUGGCGAUAAUCGGCACCUCGUAUUUUAUCCGCCAUACGAUAAUUCUCUGAUUUGAGGUCCUCCAGUAAAAUGCAAGUACCCGAUCCGUCCGUCUCGCCCUUGACAACCUCUUCCAGAUGGGUGUAGUAACAGUCUGGAACAUCUAAGGGAAUCGGCUGGUCGGCAUGCAGUUCUCGCAGGAGCGCAAAGAAGUGGUGGUACAUGUUGAUCUCACGGUGAUGAACGCGAGAUUCGUAAGCCGAUUUACGAAGCAAGAAAUUAGAUGGCAGCACCUGUUGAACGUUGAACAGUUUCAAACUCGUUAGAAGUGAAUAGGGAAAUCGAUACCUUAAUGAAAGUACUCAAGACGUCGAUUGGAUCUUCGUGUUGGCCUUGCAAUAGCCGGGCAGUUACAAUGAACGUGUCGCUCUGGAAAUUGUCACCUAAAUUUGAACCAGAAUGAGCCACGACGUGCACUUUUCCGUACUGGGGUAUGUCAUCGUAGGUGACGCCAUCAAUGUGAUCCGUCGCCAAGGAGGCCAGCUGGGCAGCCAAUUUUUUGGUUUCAAAAAGUACUUUCCAAAAAUGCUGUCGAUCACUUAGACUCUUGAUUUUUCCAUUCAUUUUUAAC